CGGCGGACGGGUGAGUAACGCGUGGGUAACCUACCCUGUACACACGGAUAACAUACCGAAAGGUAUGCUAAUACAGGAUAAUAUAUUUGAGAGGCAUCUCUUGAAUAUCAAAGGUGAGCCAGUACAGGAUGGACCCGCGUCUGGUUAGCUAGUUGGUAAGGUAACGGCUUACCAAGGCGACGAUCAGUAGCCGACCUGAGAGGGUGAUCGGCCACAUUGGAACUGAGACACGGUCCAA
rnacentral:rRNA from 1 species